rnacentral:rRNA from 1 species
AGGACGAACGCUGGCGGCGUGCUUAACACAUGCAAGUCGAGCGGAAAGGCCCUUCGGGGUACUCGAGCGGCGAACGGGUGAGUAACACGUGAGUAAUCUGCCCCUAGCUCUGGGAUAGCUCCGGGAAACCGGGAUUAAUACCGGAUACGACCCCUUCGGACAUCUGAAGGGGUGGAAAGAUUUAUCGGCUAGGGAUGAGCUCGCGGCCUAUCAGCUUGUUGGUGGGGUAACGGCCCACCAAGGCGACGACGGGUAGCCGGCCUGAGAGGGCGACCGGCCACACUGGGACUGAGACACGGCCCAGACUCCUACGGGAGGCAGCAGUGGGGAAUAUUGCGCAAUGGGCGAAAGCCUGACGCAGCGACGCCGCGUGGGGGAUGAAGGCCUUCGGGUUGUAAACCCCUUUCAGCAGGGACGAAGCGAAAGUGACGGUACCUGCAGAAGAAGCGCCGGCUAACUACGUGCCAGCAGCCGCGGUAACACGUAGGGCGCAAGCGUUGUCCGGAAUUAUUGGGCGUAAAGCGUGUGC